AACCGAAUAGGGGAGUCGAAGGGAAACCGAGUCUUAACUGGGCGUUAAGUUGCAGGGUAUAGACCCGAAACCCGGUGAUCUAGCCAUGGGCAGGUUGAAGGUUGGGUAACACUAACUGGAGGACCGAACCGACUAAUGUUGAAAAAUUAGCGGAUGACUUGUGGCUGGGGGUGAAAGGCCAAUCAAACCGGGAGAUAGCUGGUUCUCCCCGAAAGCUAUUUAGGUAGCGCCUCGUGAAUUCAUCUCCGGGGGUAGAGCACUGUUUCGGCAAGGGGGUCAUCCCGACUUACCAACCCGAUGCAAACUGCGAAUACCGGAGAAUGUUAUCACGGGAGACACACGGCGGGUGCUAACGUCCGUCGUGAAGAGGGAAACAACCCAGACCGCCAGCUAAGGUCCCAAAGUCAUGGUUAAGUGGGAAACGAUGUGGGAAGGCCCAGACAGCCAGGAUGUUGGCUUAGAAGCAGCCAUCAUUUAAAGAAAGCGUAAUAGCUCACUGGUCGAGUCGGCCUGCGCGGAAGAUGUAACGGGGCUAAACCAUGCAC
rnacentral:rRNA from 1 species